GUGAUAUCUCAUCUCGCCGCCCGUCGCGAGGCGGACGGAGGGAUGGAUGAGGUUACCUGGAAAAAAUCGGGGCGAUCUAGGCGGGCGAACCUCGCCAACGAACGAUCGGACAUGGGAUAACGGAAGAGGGCGUCGGCUCGACUUCGUCGGUUCCUCGGGCCGAGGCACGUACGGUGAAUAGGGACGGUCGGGGCCGCCCGUACCGGGUCGUGAGAGGUGAAAUUCUAGGAUCGACCCGAGACGAACCGCCGCGAAAGCAUUCGGCAAGGACGCUUUCAUUAAUCAAGAACGAAAGUCGGGGGAUCGAAGACGAUCAGAUACCGUCGUAGUCCGACCGUAAACGAUGCCGACCGAGGGCCCGGAGGAGUACGUACGACCCUCCGGGCCCUCCCGCCGAGAAAUACA
rnacentral:rRNA from 1 species